rnacentral:rRNA from 1 species
AUUGAACGCUGGCGGCAGGCCUAACACAUGCAAGUCGAGCGGAUGAAGGGAGCUUGCUCCUGGAUUCAGCGGCGGACGGGUGAGUAAUGCCUAGGAAUCUGCCUGGUGGGGGGGGAUAACGUCCGGAAACGGGCGCUAAUACCGCAUACGUCCUGAGGGAGAAAGUGGGGGAUCUUCGGACCUCACGCUAUCAGAUGAGCCUAGGUCGGAUUAGCUAGUUGGUGGGGUAAAGGCCUACCAAGGCGACGAUCCGUAACUGGUCUGAGAGGAUGAUCAGUCACACUGGAACUGAGACACGGUCCAGACUCCUACGGGAGGCAGCAGUGGGGAAUAUUGGACAAUGGGCGAAAGCCUGAUCCAGCCAUGCCGCGUGUGUGAAGAAGGUCUUCGGAUUGUAAAGCACUUUAAGUUGGGAGGAAGGGCAGUAAGUUAAUACCUUGCUGUUUUGACGUUACCAACAGAAUAAGCACCGGCUAACUUCGUG